UACGUAGGGGGCAAGCGUUGUCCGGAUUUACUGGGCGUAAAGGGCGCGCAGGCGGGCACUACAAGUACUGGGUGAAAUCUCCCUGCUCAACGGGGAGGGUGCUUAGUAGACUGUAGAGCUAGAGGUGGGUAGAGGGUGGUGGAAUUGCUGGUGUAGCGGUGGAAAUGCGCAGAUAUCAGAGGAACACCAAUAGCGAAGGCAGCUCGCUGGGACGUUACUGACACUAAGGCGCGAAAACGUGGGGAGCGAACAGG
rnacentral:rRNA from 1 species